ACUCAUCUGACAUAUUUCAUUUGGAAUGUGACCGGAAAAACUGUUUGAUCGAAGGCGGAGGAUUUUCAUAUUUGAGAGCUUUUCUCCAACCCAUGUUGGAAUACAUCCUGAAAGAUUAUUUUCUCCAAGAUCCAAGGAUAUCAAUUGGCUAGUCUUCUUCAGACUGGUAGGAAAUAUUCCCGAGAGCAAGUUGUUACGAAUUUCUAAUGACUGCAGCUCAGCCAAGGAACCCAUGGAUGGGGGGAAGUUCCCAACAAAAUGGUUGCUUUGUAAAUUCACGUCCACUAGAAAUGGCCAAUUAAUCCAACAAUCAGGUAUUUCUCCUGACAGAUUAUUUGAUGCAAGAUUGAGAAAUUCUAAUUGCAUUGGCUUGUCCUGAUUGUUACAUAAAAAAUCUUGCAUGGAUUCAGAGAAUGAAUUGGUUGAAAGGUCUAACUCAUACACAUCAUUUGAAAGAUAGGGUAAUUUACCACACAAGUGAUUUGUGCUUAGAUCAACAGUUUUGAUAGAUAUUGGAUUUUUUAUUGUAGUCACAAGCUCACCAUGGAUAUGAUUAUGAGAGAGGUUUAAAUACAAAACCUGAGAAUGUGCUUCCCAGAACCAAGUGGGAAUAGAAUCUAAAAUCCCUGUGUUAGACAGUCCAACAUAUCGAAGUUUGUUUUGUGACUGAAUCCACGAUGGAAAGUUGGGACCUAUCUGCCAUGAUGUCACAUCCAAAUAGGAAAGCUGGAAAUUAGGAAGCCAAUUGGGACCCACUUUUAAAGUGAAAUUGUUCCCUGAUGCAUCAAACUCCUUCAAACUUGUAAGAUUUGCAAGAUCAUCUUCGUUGACAACUCCUUGAAAAUUAUUGCCAUUAAUAAGAAGCGAUGACAAUUUAGAGAGUGAUCCAAGACUUUCAAAUGGAUUUCCACUGAAUUUAUUAAUAGAGAGAUAGAGAUAUUUUAAAUCUAUCUCCCUUGAGUUGCGGAGAUUACCCAAAAAAGUCGGAAUUGUUCCUUCAAGUUGAUUAUAUGACAAAUCAAGUUCAACAAGAGAAGUCAAAUUUCCCAAAGAAGUUGGAAUGGUUCCUUCAACUUGAUUAUGUGACAAAUCAAGUCCGACAAGAGAAGUCAAAUUUCCCAGGGCAUCAGAAAUAGUCCCAUGCAAGUUGCUGGAACUUAGGUCCAGAUACUUGAGACGAUGAAGACCGUAUAAGCAAUUAGGUAUAGAAGAUGAAAAUGAAUUGAAAGACAACUCAAGAUUUUGAAGAAGUGUGAGGUUUCGAAUACCACCAGGAAUCGGACCUUGAAUUUCAUUACCCUGUAAUUGAAGAGAAACAAGUUUCUUCAAUUUGAAUAUCCACUUGGGGACAAAAGAAAUGGCAGGGGAAUAACUAGUACGGGAAAGAUCGAGAGUUUGCAGAGAUGAGAAGUUGAGCAAGGAUGGUUCAUUAUAGUGAGGGAGUUUGCAGUCUGACAAAUCUAGGUGGGUCAAAGAAGGAAGAGAUUGGAGAGUGUGUAGCCAAUGAAAUGCUUUGGAUAGGUUUGCAUAACUCAAAUGAAGAUAUUCAAGCUUCCACAUACUUGAUACCCAUUCUACAUUUUCAGCUAACAGAUGUUCGACAGCAGAAUAAUCUACAUUUUCAGCAAACAGAUCAUAACUACCUCCAAGGCCAAGAUAGACCAAAUUGGAGAGAUUCCCAAUCUGAGAUGGAAUCUUCCCCAUGAAUCCAGUAUGAGAGAGGUCGAGGUGAGUCAAGGAGGUCAUUGUGUUGAGUUGGUUAGGAUUCAGUUACAGAGGAGAGAAAAAUAGAGAAUGAAGAUGAAAGAAGAAAAAAAUAUUAUGAUUGAUUUGUAAAGUGUGUGUUACAAAGUAUUUAUAUUCUCAGAUACAAGCUACUACUAAACAAGACUACAACUAACUAGUUAUAAUCUCAACACCCUCCCUCAAGCUUAUCAUGGUAGAUGUUGAUCAUGCUAAGCUUGGAGACAAAAUCAUGAAAUUUGGGUGGUGCCAAUGCUUUGGUGAGAAAAUCUGCCACUUGAUCACUUGUUGAAACUGGUAGUAGCUUUAGAGUGCCCUUCAAAAGCUUCUCUCGCACAAGAUGGCAAUCAAUUUCCAAGUGUUUUGUGCGUUCGUGAAAAACCGGAUUUGAGGCAAUGUGGACUGCGCUUUGGUUGUCACAGUAAAGAGUUGGAGUUCUGGUAAGCUGAACUCUCAAAUCUGCAAAAAGAUACAACAGCCAUUGCAACUCACAAGCAGCUGAAGACAGAGCCCUGUACUCUGCUUCUGAAGAUGAUCUGGACACAGUUGCUUGCUUUUUAGCACGCCAUGACACUAAAGAUUUGCCUAUGAAGAAACAAUAUCCAGAUAUGGAUUUUCUAGAAUCCAUACAGCCUGCCCAAUCAGCAUCUGAAUAACCUAUAAGUUGCAUUUCUGAAGUUCUGCUAAAGAAAAUACCUUGGCCUGGGUUGUUCUUCAAAUACCUCAAUACUCUACAUGCUGCAUUGAAAUGAACAUUUGUGGGUGCUUGCAUGAACUGGCUAAGUUGUUGUGUUGCAAAAGCAAUGUCUGGCCUAGUUGUGUUUAAAUACAACAACUUCCCAACUAUGCGCCUGUAACCUGAAAUAUCAGCAUAAGGAGUGCCUGCAGCACUGUGCAACUUUAUGGAUGUGUCAAGAGGUGUGCUAGCAGGUUUGCACCCAAGUAAUCCUGAAUCCUUAAGCAGAUCCAGACAAUAUUUCCUCUGUGAGAUGGUAAUACCCAGUCUAGAAUGAGCAACUUCAAGCCCAAGAAAGUAUUUCAACUUACCCAGAUUUUUAAUUUUGAAAGCUAAAUCAAGAACAUUCUUGAUCCUGUCAAAUUCAUCAAUUGAAUCACCUGCAAGAAUGAUGUCAUCUACAUAUACCAACAGUGCAGUGAAAGUAUUUCCUUUGGUGAGAGUAAAUAGGGAGUAAUCUGAAAUUGAUUGUAUGUAACCUUCUUUGAGAAGCAAAUUAGUCAGCUUUUCAUACCACUUCCUACUUGCUUGCUUCAACCCAUACAAGCUCUUUUGUAGCUUGCAAACAGAAUUAGGCUUGGCACAAGUUACCCCAUCUGGUAUUUUCAUGUAAACAUCUUCUUGAAGAUCUCCAUGAAGAAAAGCAUUAUUGACAUCCAGUUGAUGAAGGUGCCAAUUCUUUAUGGCAGCUACUGCCAAAAGAGUCCUAACAGUGGUAAUCUUAGCCACAGGGGAGAAGGUCUCAAAAUAGUCAAUCCCUUCUACUUGAUUGUAGCCUUUGGCUACUAAUCUGGCUUUGUAUCUCUCUAUUUGGCCAUUUGCUUUGUGUUUGACUUUAUAAACCCAUUUACAUCCUAUGGGUUUAGUAUGAGGUGGGAGUUCAACAAUUUUCCAGGUACAAUUUUUAGCCAAAGCAUUUAAUUCUUCCUUCAUGGCUGUUACCCAGUGUUCAUGCUUACUAGCUUCCUCAUAAGAUUGAGGCUCAGUGCAGUGUGUGAUUGACAUACUAAAUGCCUUGUGUGAAGGAGACAAAAGUGUAAGUGAAUGAAAAGAAGACAAGGGAUAUUUAGACUUUGUACCUGAAGUGAGAGAUUCGUGUGAAGUUGGAGAUGUAUUGUGACAAACAUAGUCAGACAAAUGUAAUGGUGCCCUUCUUUGUCUGAUGGGUUUGGAAUGUAAUAGAGGAGAAUCAUUGUGAUCUUUAGGUGGAGGUGUGGAGGUAGAGGUAUCAGAAAUGACAGUGUCAUUUGAAAUAUUAGGAGAUAAAGAUGAGUGGGGUGGUGAUGGUGACUGCUCAGCAUUAAUGUCUAAGGAAAUGUCACUAUCUAAGGUAAUGUCACUGUCAUUUGGAGUAGGACUGAUGGAAUGAUACUCCCAAGGAGUCUUGGGAGAUGAGGACUGAUAGGGAAAAAUGUGUUCAUGGUGAGUCACAUCCCUAGACAAGAAUAUGGAAUUAUUUAAUAGAUCAAGGAGUACAACUCCUUUCACACCAGAUUUAUAUCCUAGAAAAACACAUUUUCUAGCUCUAAGGUCUAACUUGGUUCUAUGUGAUUGUAAAGUAGAUGCAAAAACUAGAGAACCAAACACUUUGAGAGUAUCAAAAUCAGGGGCAGUAUUAUACAAUAAAGUAUAAGGAGAUUUGUUUUGUAAAUUUGGUGCAGGGACUCUAUUCAUGAUGUAUACAGCAUGGGAAACAGCAUAACACCAAAAAGACUUGGGGAGAUUAGACUGAACAAGAAGAGCUCUACCUAUGUUUAGAAUUUGCUGAUGUUUUCUCUCAACCCUGCCAUUUUGCUGGGGAGAGUCAACACAGCUAGUCUGGUGUAAUAUACCUUUGGAGGCAUAGAAAUCUGGCAUAAGGAACUCAGGACCAUUGUCUGUACGAAUGGAUUUAACAGAAUGAUUAUAUUGGGUUUUAAUAAAAUGAAUAAAGUUUUGAACAUGAAGUCUAGCUUCAGAUUUAUUUUUCAUUAGGGUUAUCCAAGUAUAUCUAGAAUGGUCAUCAACAGCAGUAAGAAAAUAAGCAUGAUUAUGAACAGAUUUAAUAGAGAUGGGACCCCAUAUGUCAAAAUGAAUCAAAUCAAAACAUUUUAUUGCUUUAUGAUAACUGUGUACAAAAGGUAAUUUUCUGUGUUUAGCAAAGUGACAGAUGUCACACACAGAACUAGAAUCAUUUACAAUAAAGGGGAAUUGAGAGUGUAAAAGAGCAAUUCUAGAACUAGACAGGUGACCUAACCUGAAAUGCCAAAUUGCAUUUUCAGGUAUAUGGACAUUAUUUGCUGAGGAAAAAAUGGAAGAAAUGUUGUAGUUGGAAGAAGCACAUUCCUUAUUUGUCUGAGUCAAGUAGUACAAGCCAUCUCUGCUUUCACCCAAACCAAUCAUCUUCAGUGAUUUCUGCUCCUGUAUGGAACAAAUAGUGUCAGUGAAAUUGAGUGUAUAAGGUGUAUGGUGACAUAAUUGAGAGACAGAAAUCAAAUUGACUGUAAAGGUAGGAACAUAUAGGACAUUGGUGAUACUAAAAGAAGAGGAAAACACAACUGUGCCUGCAUAUUUAGUGGUGACAUGAUUACCAUUUGGUAAUUUUAUAAUCAUGGGAUUGAUUUCACUAUAAGAGUGAAACCAGUGCAGUGAGGCACAUAUGUGAUGACUAGCACCUGAAUCUAUGAUCCAGGUAUCAAGAGCAAUAUUAUUACAAAUAGAAGAAUAAAAAAAAUGAGAUAUUUUCAUACCCUUCGUAUCUGCUGAUGAAGGACCAGCAGUGUUGAAUGAGCAAACCUGUUUAGAAGUAGAAGCAUUACAAUGGUUAACAGAAGGAGGUUGAAUUAACUGCAGAAGCUUAUCUAAUUGUUCCUGAGUAAGUGAAGGAGUCAUGGUGACACUUGUGGUGUUCUGAGAUGCAGUUGAAGAUUCAACACGUUCUCCCCCAUCAACUGCAGAAUGAUGAGCAGAACCAGAGUGAUUUUUCAUCAUGUGAGGAGGAACACCAUGCUUUUGAAAGCAAUUCUCAACAAAGUGAUUCGUCUUAUGACAAUAGGUACAGUAGCGCUUGGAACCAGAAUUAGAUCUUCCAUUAGCAGAACCUUGAGACUUACUAGUUGAAGCAUUAACAAGAGCCUUUGAAUCAUCAAGAUUAGGAACACAAUUUUGACGUUCAAAUUGAAUCACCAUAGAAAAGAUCUUGGUGAUAGAAGGUAGAGGUUCAAUCAGAAGAAUCUGAGAUUUAACCGCAUUGAAUUCAUCGUUUAAACCAGUCAAGAAACGCAUAACAUGAAGCGUAUGAUGAUGACGACGAGCAAGACGCAUCGCAUCACAAGAACAACGAUGAUGACAUGUGCAAUUUGGAAUCGGCAUGUAAAUUUCAAGUUCUUCCCAAAGCGCUUUCAGAUCAGAAUAGAAAGUAGUUACAGAUCGAGUACCUUGAGUGAGAGCGUAAAUCUCUUGUUGAAUUUCUGAAACACGAACCAAAUCACCUUGUGAGAAACGCUCUUUCAGAUCGAGCCACACAUCGGAAGCGUUAUCCAUGAAAACGAUGGAUCGGGAAAUGGAAGGUUCAACGGAGUUGAGAAUCCAGCUAUGAAUCAACAUAUUGCAGCGAUUCCAAGCUCGGAACGACGGAUCGAAGGCAUCAACCGGCAUCGGAAUUGUUCCGUCAAGAAAUUCGAACUUGAGUUUGGCUCCGAGAGCGCGUCGCAGAGACCUCGCCCAAGAAUGGUAGUUGGAACCAUCGAGGAGUGGUGUGACCUUGACGGAGGAGGGACCGUCGCUAGGAUGAACAAAGAACGGACUAGUAGGAUCAGUAGAGGGAUCCGCCGGUGGCGGUGGUGCUAUACGCGGUGGCAUAGUGGCGGAAGCAAAAGGAAUGGAUCGUUAGGUCGAUGAUACCAUGUUGAGUUGGUUAGGAUUCAGUUACAGAGGAGAGAAAAAUAGAGAAUGAAGAUGAAAGAAGAAAAAAAUAUUAUGAUUGAUUUGUAAAGUGUGUGUUACAAAGUAUUUAUAUUCUCAGAUACAAGCUACUACUAAACAAGACUACAACUAACUAGUUAUAAUCUCAACACAUUGCACAAAGGAAAGAAGGAAUUGCCAUACCUUCUCCAAGUAAAUCAUUGUCGCUCAAGUCAAGAUAUCGAAGCUUAGAGAGAUUCCCGAUCUGAGAGGGUACUGUUCCGUUGGCAAAAACAUAACUCAGGUCAAGAUACACCAAAUUUGAGAGAUUCCCAAUCUGAGGAGGAAUCUUCCCAUAGAAUCCAGUAAGAGAGAGGUCGAGGUGAGUCAAGGAAGUUAUUGUCCCAAGGAAAGAAGGAAUUGACAUACCUGCUCCAAGUAAAUAAUUGGCGCUCAAGUCCAAGUAAUUCAAAUGCUUUAAAUCAGCCAAACAAGGACUUAUCUCUCCACCAAACUGGAAUCUCCUAUAAGCUCCCCUGUCAUAGAAAGCAGCAGAAAACGUAGUGUUGAGGUGAAGCUGAAGAAGAUGGGAAGUGACGUUGUGGCAGAGGACUCCAUACCAGUGGCAACAGUUGGUAUUAUUAUGAUUCCAAGACCAAAGCCUAUUGGAAGGAUCUAUGAGAUUAUUCUUAAACUUCAAAAGUGUCUCACGCUCACUUGGGAUGCACACACUCUCUCUGCAUGGUAAGCUCAACAACCAAAGCUGGACAAAGACAAGAAUAUAAAUGGAGGAAUUCAUGAUCACACAAGAAUAUAUAGAAAACAAGUGUAGUUGUUGGUUCUGCAUAUAAAUCAUCAAACUUCUAUUAUUUAUACUGCUGCCCUGCCUGUUUUUUUAGGUACAGUUUUUUUUUACAAAAAUAAAUAAGAAUUAUUUUAUUUUAAUUUACUCUAUAAUACUGCUUAAAUGAAAAUUUGGUGUCAUUAAACUUCAAAUUUUAAUUAUUAUUUAAUCAAUCCUUCCGUUAAACUUUUGUUACGUACAAAAGUCCAACAUUUUUUUAAGAAAAAAUCAAGUCUUUUAUUUCAUCAAAUUUAAUAUUAAAUUAUCAAAUUUUCAAUAUUCAAAACUAAAAAUAAUGUAAAAGAAAAUUGUCUUCUAAAUCAUAGCUUACACCAUCAAGUCAAUCUCAAGGUUUUUCAUUUUUUCAUCUUGAACCUUUGGACACUUCACAAAGUCCAGCCAUGAUGUUAAGGUCUGACUUCUUCAACUUGAACCAUAGGUCACUGCAUUAAUUACCUUCAUAUCAAGUUCCCUGUCAUUGACAACACAUGUUGCAAGUUGAGUCAAGCAAGGAAAAAAAAUAUUAUUGAUGAAUAAAUCAAUUAUAGGAAAAGAGUUUACUUUAAAGACUAUUUUGGUUAAAAAAAUCUAUAAAAAAAAUUAUUUCAUUCCAAGCUAGCUAUUUAAUUUUGAUCAAUUUUUCAAUUCACAAAAUAAUAUUCUUCUUAUAUGUGAAAAUGACUAAUUAAUCUUCAUUGUCAUUAAUGAUUGUUGUGUUGUCUAUUUCUAAUUGUUUUUUUAAUCAUAAUAUUAUUUUCUUUUUAUUAAAAAUUAAUUAGUGAGAUACAAAGAAGUUUAACUUGAUCUAUCAUAAUUAUUGAGAUCAUAGUUUUUCCUUUUAUAAGUCUUGGUCUAAAUUUCUCCAUGUAUUGUAGAUCAUAUUUAACUUAAAAAGUAAAUUAGAAGAUCUACAAAGAAGUGUGACAUGUUUUUUAAAUUAUAAAAUUAUGGUCCUAGCUAUUUAUUGUUAGACCACAAGUUUUCAUAUAUUAAAGUUUUUGUCUAAAUUUCAUUUAUGGUGAUAGUUUAAGAAUAGUGAUAGAAGACAAAAAUAAAUAUUCAAUUUAUUGAAAUAUCUAACUCAAUUAAUUGAUGAAUACAUCAAUUAUAGGAAAAGGGUGUACUUUAAAGACUAUUUCUAUUAAAAAAUCUAUAAAAAAAUUAUUUCCUUCCAAUCUAAUUAUUUAAUUUUAAUCAAUUUUUCAGUUCACAAAAUAAUAUUCUCUUAUAUAGGAAAAAAAGACUAGAUUUAAUUAUCAUCAAUUGGAAAAGUAAUUGUGUCAUGCAUUUAUAAUUGUAUUCUAACUUGAAUAUUAUUUUAUUUAUCAUAUAAAAAUUAAUUAGUUAUAUAAAAGAAGUAAAAAUAAUAUUAACUUUUUUUCUGAAAAAAAAAUCAGUGUCAUAUUUUAUAUUUUUUACAAGUUAUCAACUUAAAUAAGAGGAGAAACAUAAUUUUAAUUUCCAUUUUACUUUUUAAAUAAUUGCAAGUGCCAAAUUUAAAUAAUUAUGAGAAUCACGUUCAAUAUAAUAUUCUAAAAAAAAUCCAUAUGAUAACUUAAACAAUCUAUAAAGAAAUAUAAUUUAUUCUUGUGCCAAAUACUAAAACAAAAAACAUUUUUUAUUUUAGUUUACCGUAUAGAACUGCUUAAAUCAAUGAAAUUUUUAUUUUAAGAAAAUAUUAAUGAUUUUUUUUAAAACUUUAAGUAGUUUACAUCAAAGAUAAUUAAAUUUGGCUUAAUUAGUCUUCAAAUUUUAACUAUUAUUCAUAUCAAUCCUUUCGUUAAACCUGUACGUGUUAAGUAAACAACAAAAAGUCUUGUCUUAUAAAAUUCAAACAUUCUAUGACAUGCGGUUUGAACUCAUAAUUAAUUUUAAACUAUCAAAUUUUAAUUAUUCAAAAUAAAAGAAAUGAAAACAAAAUUGUCUCCUAGAGAAACCGCUGGCCACUCCACCAAAUUCAUAUCAAGGUCCCCACUUUUCCAACUUGAACCAUAGACUACUCCAUCAAAUCUAUGUCAAGGUCCUCCAUUUCAAGGUCCCCACUUUUCCAACUUGAACCAUAGACUACUUCAACCUUAGGACACUCCACAAAGUCCACCCAUAUUAAGGUCUCUGCCUUCUUCAACUUCUGCAACGCAUAUAUAGAAAACAACUUAAUUGUAUAAGUGCUUCUUGCUUCUGCAUAUAAAUCAUAAAACUUCUAUUAUUUAUACUGCUGCAAGUGUCUUUCUUGACUUUUUUUCUUUUUUUUAUGAUGUUUCCUUUUUUUAAUUAUUGACUUUAUUAUCCAAUUCUCCCGAGUUAAUUCUUAGAAUAGGAAAUAAUUUUGAAUUUACUUUAUCUAUCUCCCUUUUUAAAAUUCCUAUAUACACAAAAUUUUAUAUUGAAUUUAACUAUUAUUUAAUAUAUCCUUUCGUUAAACUUUUGUUAAUUAAACAAUAAAAGUCCAACAUUUUAUUAAAAAAAUUCAAGUCUUCUAUUUCAUGGACUCCAUCAAGUCUUUUAUUAAAAGUCCAACUUUUGUUAAUUCAAGUCUUUUACAAAAUUUUGUUAAUUCAACUUUUGUUAAUUAUUACAAAAUUUGGUAUUGAAUUUAACUAUUAUUUAAUUCAAGCCUUUUAUUAAAAGUUCAAAUUUUGUUAAUUUAAAUAUUAUUUUGUUAAUUAAACCAUAGCUGACUCCAUCAAGUCGUAUUUUUUCAUCUUGAACCUUUGGACACUCCACAAAGUCCAGCCAUGUUAUGGUCUCUGGCUUCAACUUGAACCAUAGCCUGGGCCACAAACAAUAUAUUAAUGAUAAAUACAUCAAUUAUAGGAAAAUGGUCUAAUUUAAAGACUAUUUCAGUUAAAAAAUCUAUAUAAAAAAAAUUAUUUCGUUCAUAUCUUGGUAUUUAAUUUUGAUCAAUUUUUUAAUUCACAAAAUAAUAUUCUCUUAUAUAUGAAAAAGCUAGACUAGAUUUAAUCGUCAUUUGGAAUGGUUGUUGUGUGAUCUAUUUCUAAUUGUAUUCAAACAUGAAUAUUAUUUUCAUUAUCAUAUAAAAAUUAAUUGGUGAUAUAAAAAGAAGUGUGAAAAAGAAUAUUAAUUUUUUUCUAAAAAAAAUUAGUAGCAUAUUUUGUAUUUUUUUACACGUCAUCAACUUAAAUAAUAGGAGAAACAUAAUUUUAAUUUCCAUUUUAAUUUUUAAAUAAUUUUAAUUGCCAAAUUUAAGCAAUCAUAAAAUUUCUCAUGUUCAAUAUAAUAUUCUAAAAAAAAAUAUUCAUAUGAUAACUUAAAUAAUCUACUAAGAAAUAUGAUUUAUUCUUAUGCAGAUCGAAUACUAAAAUAAGAAAAAAAAAUAUUUUAGAUCACAAUAUAAAAUUGCUUAAAUCAAUGAAAUUUCAUUUUAAGAAAAUAUUAAUAAUUUUUAAUACUUUAAAUCAAAGAUAAUUAAAUUUGGUUUAAUUAGUCUUCAAAUUUUAACUAUUAUUUAAAUCAAUCCUUUCAUUACACCUUUGUUAAGUAAAUGAUAGCAUAGCAAGCAAGGAGGUGCUAGCAGUAACACUCUCACAAAGAUAAAGAUCUUUAAGCCAUCAUUUUUUUUCCUUUUCUUUUCUAUGAACUGUCAUUUCUUAUCUCUACAUGGAAUGUCUAGAAGUUGAAAACUUGAGCUUUCUUUAACUAUACUGCUUUCCAUUUUGGCGAACUGCUUUUCUUUCUCAUAAUGAACUUUCCACUUCCAAUGAUGGUUCAACAUUAAUAAUUCUUUAUCUAUUUUGUCUAAAAAUUUCCAAUCACUUUUUGUGAGUGGUGUGAAUGUCAUGCAGACAAAUGAUGUCCAAGCUCCACUUUUUCCAUUCAUUGCAAGUUGUAAGCAGAAUGUAGAAUGUACGUAUAAUAAAAUAAUGAGAAUGCCAACUACUAGUACGUAGUACUUAAUUAAAACAAAAGUAUCAAAAUUAGAACGAAAAUAACUUUGAUGCUGUUAAUACAUGAGUUUAAUUUUGAUACACAGUGUAAAAAUUUAAAUUUUUAAUUAAUUAGAAAUCACCUAAUGAUUUGUAAAACAAUUACUAAAAAAAGUUUCAUUUGAAACUUAGUCUUCCACCCGUCUCAAGCUCUCCACAUGAACACUAAGCUCUAGACAAAAAUAAAUAAAUAAAUAAAUAACCACGAGAAAUAAUAUAUAACUCUUUAGUGGACAAUUGGUGUUCUUUUGUGCAUUCAGUUGAAGGAAGUUCCCAGAUUGGCAGAAAGCAAGGGACAGAUGAAACGGCCACAGCUAAGAAUAGUGCAUCUUAUAUCGGGAAGAGAUUGUUAGAAAGUUUGGUUGCAGUUGCAGGGCUUCUAAUUUGGCUUUCAUGAGCAUUACUCAAAUACUACCUAUAUAUUACCACUUUCAUAUCACAAAAUGUCUUGCCUUAUAAAAUUUAAAUAUUCUAUUACUUGCAGUUUGAAUCCAUAAUUAAAUUUAAAAUAUCAAUUUUUUAUUAUUCCAAAUAAAAGAAAUGAAAACAAAAUUGUCUAGUCUCCUAGACAAACCACUUCCCACUCCACCAAAUUCAUAUCAAGGACCCCACUUUUCCCACUUGAACCAUAGACUACUCCAUCAAGUCCAAGUCAAUGUCCUUCAUUUUUUCAUCUUGAAUCUUAGGACACUCCACAAAGUCCAGCCAACCAUAUUUAGGUCUCUAUCUUCUUCAACAUGAACCAUAGGUCACUACAUUACCUUCAUAUCAAGUUCCUUAUCAUUGACAACAAAUGUUUAGAAUUAAGUAAGCAAGGAAAAAAAAUAUAAAUGAUGAAUACACCAAUUAUAGGAAAAUGAUCUAAUUUAAAGACUAUUUCGGUUAAAAAAUCUAUAUAAAAAAAGACUCUUUCGUUUCAAUCUAACUAUUUAAUUUUGAUCUAUUUUUUAAUUUACAAAAUAAUAUUCUUCUUAUAUGUGAAAAAAAAACUAAUUUUCAUUGUCAUUAAUCGGAAAGAUUGUUGUGUCGUCUAUUUCUAAUUGUAUUUUAGCCUGAAUAUUAUAUUCUUUUUCAUUAAAAAUUAAUUAGUAAGAUACAAAGAAAUGUAAAAUGCUUGUUUAACUUGGUCUAUCAUAAUUAUUGAGAUCAUAACUUUUUUCUUUUAUAAGUCUUUGUCCAAAUUUCUCCAUAUAUUGUAGAUCAUAUUUAGCUUAAAAAGUAAAUUAGAGGAUAUGAUAUACCAAGAAGUGUGGCAUGUUUUUUUAAAUUAUUUAUCUAUGGCCUUAGCUAUUUUAUUUUUAGACCACAAGUCUUCAUAUAUUAAAGUCUUUGUCUGAAUUUCAUUUACUUGUGUGGUGAUAUUUUAAGAAUAGUGAUAGAAGAGAAAAAUAAAUAUAUAAUUUAUUGAAAUAUCUAACUUAUGAAGAUUUGCAUUCUUAAUGCAUAAGAUUUUCAGUUUAUAUAUUAUCAUUAUUUGGAAAUAUUUUUUGUGUUAAUUGUCUAUUUCUAAUUAAUUUGAAAAUGAAUCUUAAUUUUUUAUCAUAAAAAUUAGUAUUAUAUUUUUUAUUUUCUUUACAAGUUAUCAACUUAAAUACUAAUAGGAGCAACAUAAUUUUAAUUUCCAUUUUACUUUUUAAAUAAUUUUAAGUGCCAAAUUUAAGCAAUCAUAAAAAUACUCACGUUCAAUAUAAUAUUUUUAAAAAAUAAUUCAUGAGAUCACUUAAAUAAUCUUCAAAGAAAUAUAAUUUAUUCUUGUGCCAAAUAAACAACAAAAAAAGUCUUGCAUUAUUAAAUUCAAGUCUUCUAUUACAUGCAAUUUGAACCUAUAACUAAUUUUAAAUGAUCAAAUUUUUAUUAUUCAAAAUAAAAGAAAAGAAAAAAAAAUUGUCUUCUAGACAAACCAGAGACAACUCCACCAAAUCCAUAUCAAGGUCCCCACUUUUUUAACUUGAACCAUAGGCCACUCCAUCAAAUCUAUGCCAAAGUUUCUUAUCAUUGACAACAAAUGCUGAGAGUUAAGUCAAGCAUGAAAAAAAAUAGGGUAAAAUAUAUCAUUUCUAUCCCUAUAAAAUUUUAAUGUGCUACUUUUUUUUUUUAUCCUGAGUUAAGUUUGGAUGAUAGAUAAUUAUCAUGUAUUCUUAGAUUUUGGUGUCAUUUUAGGAUAUUUAUGUGAUAUAUGUCUUUUAUGCUUUUUUAUUGUCAUGAACUAAUCUUCUCUUUUGUUGGAGUUGAAUAUAAUUGGUUCAUUUUUCAUGUAAUGACUAUUUUUUAUUGAAUAAAGCAUUCUAAUUGUUUCUCUUCUAUGUUUAAUAUGUGUUUUUGGCUUAAUCACCUGUUUGUAUGAUUUUUUUUAUUCAAUUGUAAUUUAAAUUUUUUUUUGAACUAUGAAUUGCAAAAAACACCUAAUAAUUUUUAUGUCUAGGAAUAAGAUAAAAAGAAUUGAGCAUCAAUAAACACUUUAUCUUAAUGAAAAUCAUUUAGUUAUAUUAAUUUAAGGGAUUAAGGGAUUUAGGUCUCUUCACUAGGAAUUAAAGUGAAGAUAAUAUGAUGGGAUUAUGAUAAUAUAACCUUUAUUAAAUAUAAAUGUGUAGUUAUUAGGUAAUAGAAACUUCAAUGAAAUUAAACCCCAACAAUUUUUUCAUUGAUUUAACCCCAACAAUUACAUGAGGUGUUUGUUAAAAUUCCCAAACAAUUUUUUUCCUUAAUUUUUUCCUUAAUUUUUUCUUUUAUUUUCUUCUUUAGUUUUCUUAUUUUUAUUUCUUACUUUAAUUUCUUUAUCUUUAUGCAUAUUGUUAUUUAAAUCAAAUUAGCUAAUGUUAAUUAAUUUCAAAUAUGCAUAGUAUAGAAAUUAUACUUUUUAUUACCCAAUUAUUGCCUAAGUCCUGUUAAUGCUAAUCAUUGUUAGAGCACAGAUAGUAGAAGACAAUAAUGCGUGAUAAAUACAAAACAGAAUUUGAUGCUCAAGUCUGAAGCUCGUCUAGUUCUCUUAACAUUAAGAACAUUUAUUACCAAUGAAAGCAAAACAAACAGACACCCCAUAUGAACAUGUACAUAGUAUGGUAAACCUUUUCACAUUUUUAAUGUCUAGAAUAACACGUUGUAAUGUCUCUCACUCCUAACAGUUAACAUGUAAACUCACAAUUUCCCAAGUAACCUUCUUACCUUCAAAACUAUUAUCACAUAAAUCAGAUCUCUCAAGUGGUCAAGAUAAUGAAAAUAAGCACGCCUCCAAGUUCUGUUGAAGAAAACAACACUGCAAAAACCCCAAAAUCCUGCUGCAAAUCCAACUCCCAUACCGAUAUAAAACUCUGAUGUUCCAAAGAAAUUACCAUCACCGUGUCCAACAGAAGCACUCUCUGUCAACUCUUCCUUGUCUGUGCAAUUUUUUGUCACAGGAGGACCACAAAGCUCAGGAUUUCCAGUGUAGCUAAGUUCUUCAAAGCUCUGAAGUUGGGUGCUCGUGGGAAUUCUGCCUGAUAAGUUGUUGUAUGAUAGAUUCAGGACACUGAGGAAGGACAAAUCAGAUAAGCUUUGAGGGAUUUGACCUGAAAUGUUGUUUAGUGAGAGAUCAAGGGAUUCUAACAAUUUCAUUUUUCCCAUGUCAUUUGGUAUCCCUCCAGACAGAUGAUUUCUAGACAAGUUCAAAAACCGCAAAGCAGAUAGCUUGGAAAUUUCAGAUGGAAUUGCUCCAGACAGCUUAUUACUUGAAAGAUCAGUCAUUCUCACCAAUAUCAGAUUGUCUCUGUACUCUAACUCAUCUCCUUUGGGAACUAAGACAAGAGUUUCCUUGUAGUGGUUAUAACUGAAGUCAGAGCCAUAUGAAUAACUUAAAGGGUUGGCAAAGAAGUCAUCUUCACCAGCCAUUGUCUUCAUGUCAUCCAAACAAUUUGGAAUGGAUCCUGACAGGCUGUUAUUGCCAAGAUCCAGCACUAUAAGGGAAGAAAGUUGACAAAUCUUUUCAGUAAUGCUGCCAUUGAAAUUGUUGGAUCUUAGACGAAGAACCAUUAGAUAUUGCAUUUCCCACAUCCAAUCUGGUAUUGCGUCAGAAAGUUGGUUAUUGCCCAUGUCAAUGAAUUUCAUUGUAGAGCAAUUUUGCAGUGUUGAAGGAAUAUAUCCAGAGAAGCGGUUGUCGUCUAACAACAAAGACUCAAGUUGAGAUAGAUACCCCAUGGAGUUUGGAAUAGCACCAGACAAAUUGUUACUACCCAAGUUCAAAUGCACCAAAGCUUGCCAAUGCACCCAACAGUGACCAAGAUCACCAGAUAAGACAUUAUUUGAAAAAUCAAGCACACUUAAAUUAUUAGUAGCAUUUUCCUUUCCACAUAAAAAGGGAGAAAUUGUUCCGGAAAUUGAGUUAUUGGCAACAUUCAGCACUUCAACAUUUGCAGACACACUUGGCAAUGUACCCUUGAACAAAUUAGAACUCAAAUUUAUGAGGCUGGAAUUGAGAAAGAUGUUAGAUAGGUCUCCACUUAACAGAUUGUUGGACAGAUCCAGGAAUUCAGUUUGCAAAGUCCAAUUCCAAAACCAACUUGGAACCAAGUCUGCAAUACCUGCCUUAGACAUUGUCAAAACCUUCACAGAACUUUGCCUUUUUAGCCAUUCUGGAAACUUAGGACCUAUUCCAAAGGAGCUCAGUAAAACAUAUUCAAGCUGAAAAGGAGGAACCCAUCCAGAGUUGACACUGAGGAACAAGUUUGUCCAAGACAAACGUAGUUCCUUUAAUUUCAAAAGUUUUACAAAAUUUGACUCUUUUAUAGAUCCUUCUAACAAAUUAGAUGAAAGGUCUAACAUCACUAAAUUUGAGAGAGUUCCAAGAGUUACAGGCAUAUCACCAGUCAAAGAAUUAGUUCCAAGAUUUAAUACCUGCAGGUUUCUGAGGAACUCAAAACUCUUAGGAAUGGUUCCAUUCAGUCGGUUGUGAGCCAGGUUUAAAGUUCUCAAGGAUGACAAGUUUGCAAAUGGUGAGGGAAUUGGACAAGUAAAGGUAUUAUUACUGAGAUUUAGAACUUCAAGAUGCUUAAGCUGGCCUAAUGAAUCUGGAAGUGGCCCACUGAGCUGGUUGUUCUGCAGGUCUAGAUUUUUUAUGUUCUGAAGGCUUGAUAUUAUUUGUGGAAUUUCUCCCUGUAAAAGGUUACUGUGUAAAUCAAGUUGGACAAGAGCUGUGCUGAGAUUAAAUAGCCAUGAAGGGAUUUGCUGAUUGAGAUUGUUAAUUGAAAGAUCAAGGACUUGGAGAUGUGUGAAGUUGAUUUUUCCUUUUGGUGGUCCUAAGUUAUCAAUUUGACAGCUCUCCAAGUGUAGUUCUGAAAGAGAUGGAAGUUCACUCAGUACUUGAAGCCAGUUACCUUGUUUAUGAAGGUCUGAACCACUCAAAUCAAGGUACUCUAAGGAAGAUAGCCUUGAUAUCCAAUUAAGGUUAUCUAUCUGAAGAGCAUAAUUGUAUCCAAGAUUAAGGUGCUGCAGGUUUGAGAGGUUUCCUAGUUGAUGAGGGAUUAAUCCCAUGAACCCACUUAAGCUAAGGUCCAAGUAUCUCAGACUCUCCAAUGAGCCUAGGAAGCUUGGUAUUGGAGUAAGAACAAAAUAAUUUGAACUCAAGUCCAAACGAUUCAAAUAUUUUAGUUCAAGCAAAGAAGGACUAAUCUCUCCACUCAACUCCCUAUAGGGAGAGCCCGCAGGUGUGUCAAGAUUGAUUUCCAUGACUUUACCUGUGUUGUUGCAGUGAACCCCUGGCCAUGUACAGCAAUCCGAUUUGUCAGACCAUGAUGAAAGCCUGUUUGAAGGGUCUGCUAGUCCAUGCUUGAAGCUGAGGAGUGCAUUCCUUUCCUUCUCUCUGCAAGUCAUAUUGAGCCUUGCUGCCUUGCUUGCACUGAAGUGGAGAGUUGUUGCAGUGGACAAUAUCAAGAGAAGAACAUGAGUUGCAAAUAGCACUGCCAUGAAGAAGAAGGAAGACGAAAAAGGUUGAAUCCACAAUUUUCUGGUUCACGGUUGGUAUUUACUACUAACAAUGCCAAUGCCUAUAUAGGAUAUAUACCAUAGAAGGGUUUGCAUUUAAAAUUUUAUUCCACUAAUGGUGGUGGUUGCAAAAUGCACACAUAUGUAGAGGUAUAUAUGUCUACAAGGAGACAUUUAGGAUUAAAAGUGCCUAACCACACCACCAUUAUUUUGCUCUAGUUUAUUUUAUUUUGAUUUAAUUAUCCUUUUAGUCCUUAUAGUUGUGAUAAUUUGUUUUAGUCCCUAUAGUUUAAGACAUUCAUUUUGGUUCUUAUAUUUCCAAUUUUUUUUAUCUUUUGGUCCUCGCGGGGAAGAUUCAACUCACACAUAAACAUGAACAAAAUUAAUAAAAAUAGGGAAGCAAGCUCAGGUACAAAUGAAGUGUAAUGGAGGUAUGAGACAAAGCCACUACACAUUCCAUUAUUCUUGAGUCUGCCACCGACCUCUGCAAGCUUAGCAUUUGCCAAUUGCCAUGAUGUAAUCUCCUUCUUGACAGUCUCUCAUCAAGUUGGAGUGGUAUCACAGCAUUGAACUAUGUUGGUCGUUCCAAUGGGAUGAUGGUUUUGAUUGCUGCAGAUAAAGUGUGUCAUUGUGAGUUUCUGGUCCCAUGAGUUAAACUAUAAGGACUAAAAAAAAUAUUGUCGUAACUUUAAGGGCCAAAAGGAUAAUUAAACCUUUUAUUUUUUUAUAAUUUUUUUUUACAACGGGUUAUAUAUAUGUAGCAGUUUAUUCUAAACAAUGGACUACGUGUGAAAUCUUUGAAUUCUAUGUAAGAAAUGUUAUUUCAAAUUUCUCAUCAGUCUUCAUGUCAAUGAUGACAUGCUCCAUUUGAAUUCUAUGUCUAAUUAAGCUCUCGGUCUUCCGUUUUUGCAACUUUAUUUCGUAGAAAGAAGCCAAAUUUGAAGAUACAACAUUUGAUACUAUAACUGUUUGGUGUUUUGAAAAUCUCACUGACAUAUUUCCAAAUGUUACAAUCUCCUAGCCUUUUUUACCAAGUCAGGGAAUUUGCAUUGUUGUGCAUGAUGGCUGCCACAAGCACCCUUGUGCCAACCCAUUAGUGCAAGUGGUUUUUUCUUAUGAGAAUUGAGAAACAAAUUAUAUAUGUGUUUUAUAAAGGGAAUUCUAUUAUUUUUAAUUUUGAACUUGUAAUGUUUUUUGUUUCCCUCACAGAACAAGUGAUGUGACUCUUGAUCGACGCCAUACGUACGCAUACUUUGAUGCUCUUUUUUCUCACCACUUUUAUCUUAAUGGUAUCUCAAGUUGACAAUCAUAAAUUAAAAUAGCUAACUAUAGUUGAUUAGUAGAGACAAACAGCUCAAAGAUAAAGAUCUUUAAGCCAUCAUUUUUUUUUCCUUUUCUUUUCUAUGAGCUGUCAUUUCUUAUCUCUACAUGGAAUGUCUAGAAGUUGAAAAUUACUUGAGCUUUCUUUACCUACUGCUUUCCAUUUUGGCGAACUGCUUUUCUUUCCCAUAACCAGGAAUUCAUGGGAAGUGACGUUGUGGCAGAGGACUCCAUACCAGUGGCAACAGUUGGUAUUAUUAUGAUUCCAAGACCAAAGCCUAUUGGAAGGAUCUAUGAGAUUAUUCUUAAACUUCAAAAGUGUCUCACGCUCACUUGGGAUGCACACACUCUCUCUGCAUGGUAAGCUCAACAACCAAAGCUGGACAAAGACAAGAAUAUAAAUGGAGGAAGAAUUCAUGAUCAUGCAAGAAUAUAUAGAAAACAAGUGUAGUUGUUGGUUCUGCAUAUAAAUCAUCAAACUUCUAUUAUUUAUACUGCUGCCCUGCCUGUUUUUUUCUCCACUUUCAUUAUUUUUUACCUUUUUUAUUAUUGUGCCAAAUACUAAAAUAUUCUUCCAUUCUUUUUUUUUACGGUGACCUCUUUAAAUUAUCGAUUUAAUUAUCCAAUUCUCCCGAAUUCAUUAUUUCAUUCCAAGCUAGCUAUUUAAUUUUGAUCAAUUUUUCAAUUCACAAAAUAAUAUUCUUCUUAUAUGUGAAAAAGACUAAUUAAUCUUCAUUGUCAUUAAUGAUUGUUGUGUUGUCUAUUUCUAAUUGUUUUUUUAAUCAUAAUAUUAUUUUCUUUUUAUUAAAAAUUAAUUAGUGAGAUACAAAGAAGUUUAACGUGAUCUAUCAUAAUUAUUGAGAUCAUAGUUUUUCCUUUUAUAAGUCUUGGUCCAAAUUUCUCCAUGUAUUGAAGAUUAUAUUUAACUUAAAAAGUAAAUUAGAAGAUCUACAAAGAAGUGUGACAUAUUUUUUAAAUUAUAAAAUUAUGGUCCUAGCUAUUUAUUGUUAGACCACAAGUUUUCAUAUAUUAAAGUUUUUGUCUAAAUUUCAUUUAUGGUGAUAGUUUAAGAAUAGUGAUAGAAGAGAAAAAUAAAUAUUCAAUUUAUUGAAAUAUCUAACUCAAUUAAUUGAUGAAUACAUCAAUUAUAGGAAAAGGGUGUACUUUAAAGACUAUUUCUAUUAAAAAAUCUAUAAAAAAAUUAUUUCCUUCCAAUCUAAUUAUUUAAUUUUAAUCAAUUUUUCAGUUCACAAAAUAAUAUUCUCUUAUAUAGGAAAAAAAGACUAGAUUUAAUUAUCAUCAAUUGGAAAAGUUAUUGUGUCAUGUAUUUAUAAUUGUAUUCUAACUUGAAUAUUAUUUUAUUUAUCAUAUAAAAAUUAAUUAGUUAUAUAAAAAGAAGUAAAAAGAAUAUUAACUUUUUUUCUCAAAAAAAAAAUCAGUAUCAUAUUUUAUAUUUUUUACAAGUUAUCAACUUAAAUAAGAGGAGAAACAUAAUUUUAAUUUCCAUUUUACUUUUUAAAUAAUUGCAAGUGACAAAUUUAAAUAAUCAUGAGAAUACUCACGUUCAAUAUAAUAUUUAAAAAAAAAAAAUCCAUACGAUAACUUAAACAAUCUAUAAAGAAAUAUAAUUUAUUCUUGUGCCAAAUACUAAAAUAAGAAACAUUUUUUAUUUUACUUUACCGUAUAGAAUUGCUAAAAUGAAUGAAAUUUUUAUUUUAAUAAAAUAUUAAUGAUUUUUUUAAAACUUUAAAUAGUUUACAUCAAAGAUAAUUAAAUUUGGCUUAAUUAGUCUUCAAAUUUUAACUAUUAUUCAAAUCAAUCCUUUCGUUAAACCUGUACGUGUUAAGUAAACAACAAAAAAUCUUGUCUUAUAAAAUUCAAACAUUUUAUUACAUGCGGUUUGAACCCAUAAUUAAUUUUAAACUAUCAAAUUUUAAUUAUUCAAAAUAAAAGAAAUGAAAACAAAAUUGUCUCCUAGAGAAACCGCUGACCACUCCACCAAAUUCAUAUCAAGGUCCCCACUUUUCCAACUUGAACCAUAGACUACUCCAUCAAGUCUAUGUCAAGGUCCUCCAUUUUAAGGUCCCCACUUUUCCAACUUGAACCAUAAACUACUUCAACCUUAGGACACUCCACAAAGUCCACCCAUAUUAAGGUCUCUGACUUCUUCAACUUCUGCAACGCAUAUAUAGAAAACAACUUAAUUGUAUAAGUGCUUCUUGCUUCUGCAUAUAAAUCAUAAAACUUCUAUUAUUUAUACUGCUGCAAGUGUCUUUCUUUUCUUUUUUCUUUUUUUUAUGACGUUUCCUUUCUUUAAUUAUUGACUUUAUUAUCCAAUUCUCCCGAGUUAAUUCUUAGAAUAGGAAAUAAUUUUGAAUUUACUUUAUCUAUCUCCCUUUUAAAAAUUCCUAUAUACACAAAAUUUUAUAUUGAAUUUAACUAUUAUUUAAUCUAUCCUUUCGUUAAACUUUUGUUAAUUAAACAAUAAAAGUCCAACAUUUUAUUAAAAAAAUUCAAGUCUUCUAUUUCAUGGACUCCAUCAAGUCUUUUAUUAAAAGUCCAACUUUUGUUAAUUCAAGUCUUUUACAGAAUUUUGUUAAUUCAACUUUUGUUAAUUAUUACAAAAUUUGGUAUUGAAUUUAACUAUUAUUUAAUUCAAGCCUUUUAUUAAAAGUUCAACUUUUGUUAAUUUAAAUAUUAUUUUGUUAAUUAAACCAUAGCCGACUCCAUCAUGUCUAUCUCAAGGUCCUGUAUUUUUUCAUCUUAAACCUUUGGACACUCCACAAAGUCCAGCCAUGUUAUGGUCUCUGGCUUCAACUUGAACCAUAGCCCAUAGGGCACAAACAAUAUAUUAAUGAUAAAUACAUCAAUUAUAGGAAAAGGGUCUAAUUUAAAGACUAUUUCAGUUAAAAAAUCUAUAUAAAAAAAGAUUAUUUCAUUCAUAUCUUGCUAUUUAAUUUUGAUCAAUUUUUUAAUUCACAAAAUAAUAUUCUCUUAUAUAUGAAAAAAAGACUAGAUUUAAUCGUCAUUUAAAAUGGUUGUUGUGUGAUCUAUUUCUAAUUGUAUUCAAACAUGAAUAUUAUUUUCUUUAUCAUAUAAAAAUUAAUUAGUGAUAUAAAAAGAAGUGUGAAAAAGAAUAUUAAUUUUUUUCUAAAAAAAAUUAGUAGCAUAUUUUGUAUUUUUUUACACGUCAUCAACUUAAAUAAUAGAAGAAACAUAAUUUUAAUUUCCAUUUUAAUUUUUAAAUAAUUUUAAUUACCAAAUUUAAGCAAUCAUAAAAUUUCUCAUGUUCAAUAUAAUAUUCUCAAAAAAAAAUAUUCAUAUGAUAACUUAAAUAAUAUACUAAGAAAUAUGAUUUAUUCUUAUGCAGAUCCAAUACUAAAAUAAGAAAAAAAAAUAUUUUUGAUCACAAUAUAAAAUUGCUUAAAUCAAUGAAAUUUCAUUUUAAGAAAAUAUUAAUCAUUUUUUUAAUACUUUAAAUCAAAGGUAAUUAAAUUUGGUUUAAUUAGUCUUCAAAUUUUAACUAUUAUUUAAAUCAAUCCUUUCGUUACACCUUUGUUAAGUAAAUGAUAGCAUAGCAAGCAAGGAGGUACAAGCAGUAACACUCUCACAAAGAUAAAGAUCUUUAAGCCAUCAUUUUUUUUUCCUUUUCUUUUCUAUGAACUGUCAUUUCUUAUCUCUACAUGGAAUGUCUAGAAGUUGAAAACUUGAGCUUUCUUUAACUAUACUGCUUUCCAUUUUGGCGAACUGCUUUUCUUUCUCAUAAUGAACUUUCCACUAUUCCAAUGAUGGUUCAACAUUAAUAAUUCUUUAUCUAUUUUGUCUAAAAAUUUCCAAUCACUUUUUGUGAGUGGUGUGAAUGUCAUGCAGACAAAUGAUGUUCAAGCUCCACUUUUUCCAUUCAUUGCAAGUUGUAAGCAGAAUGUAGAAUGUACGUAUAAUAAAAUAAUGAGAAUGCCAACUACUAGUACGUAGUACUUAAUUAAAACAAAAGUAUCAAAAUUAGAACGAAAAUAAAUUUGAUGCUGUUAAUACAUGAGUUUAAUUUUGAUACACAGUGUAAAAAUUUAAAUUGUUAAUUAAUUAGAAAUCACCUAAUGAUUUGUAAAACAAUUACUAAAAAAAGUUUCAUUUGAAACUUAGUCUUCCACCCGUCUCAAGCUCUCCACAUGAACACUAAGCUCUUGACAAAAAUAAAUAAAUAAAUAAAUAACCACGAGAAAUAAUAUAUAACUCUUUAGUGGACAAUUGGUGUUCUUUUGUGCAUUCAGUUGAAGGAAGUUCCCAGAAUGGUAGAAAGCAAGGGACAGAUGAAACGGCCACAGCUAAGAAUAGUGCAUCUUAUAUCGGGAAGAGAUUGUUAGAAAGUUUGGUUGCAGUUGCAGGGCUUCUAAUUUGGCUUUCAUGAGCAUUACUCAAAUACUACCUAUAUAUUACCACUUUCAUAUCACAAAAUGUGUUGCCUUAUAAAAUUCAAAUAUUCUAUUAUUACUUGCAGUUUGAACCCAUAAUUAAUUUUAAAAUAUCAAUUUUUUAUUAUUCCAAAUAAAAGAAAUGAAAACAAAAUUGUCUAGUCUCCUAGACAAACCACUUCCCACUCCACCAAAUUCAUAUCAAGGACCCCACUUUUUCCACUUGAACCAUAGACUACUCCAUCAAGUCCAAGUCAAUGUCCUUCAUUUUUUCAUCUUGAACCUUAGGACACUCCACAGCCAACCAUAUUUAGGUCUCUAUCUUCUUCAACAUGAACCAUAGGUCACUACAUUACCUUCAUAUCAAGUUCCUUAUCAUUGACAACAAAUGUUUAGAAUUAAGUAAGCAAGGAAAAAAAUUAUAAAUGAUGAAUACAUCAAUUAUAGGAAAAUGAUCUAAUUUAAAGACUAUUUCGGUUAAAAAAUCUAUAUAAAAAAAGACUCUUUCGUUUCAAUCUAACUAUUUAAUUUUGAUCUAUUUUUUAAUUUACAAAAUAAUAUUAUUCUUAUAUGUGAAAAAAAACUAAUUUUCAUUGUCAUUAAUCGGAAAGAUUGUUGUGUCGUCUAUUCUAAUUGUAUCUUAGCCUGAAUAUUAUAUUCUUUUUCAUUAAAAAUUAAUUAGUAAGAUACAAAGAAGUGUAAAAUGCUUGUUUAACUUGGUCUACCAUAAUUAUUGAGAUCAUAACUUUUUUCUUUUAUAAGUCUUGGUCCAAAUUUCUCCAUAUAUUGUAGAUCAUAUUUAGCUUAAAAAGUAAAUUAGAGGAUAUGAUAUACCAAGAAGUGUGACAUGUUUUUUUAAAUUAUUUAUCUAUGGCCUUAGCUAUUUUAUUGUUAGACCACAAGUCUUCAUAUAUUAAAGUCUUUGUCUGAAUUUCAUUUACUUGUGUGGUGAUAUUUUAAGAAUAGUGAUAGAAGAGAAAAAUAAAUAUAUAAUUUAUUGAAAUAUCUAACUUAUGAAGAUUUGCAUUCUUAAUGCAUAAGCUUUUCAGUUUAUAUAUUAUCAUUAUUUGGAAAUAUUAAUUUGUUGUGUUAAUUGUCUAUUUCUAAUUAAUUUGAAAAUGAAUCUUAAUUUUUUAUCAUAAAAAUUAGUAUCAUAUUUUUUAUUUUCUUUACAAGUUAUCAACUUAAAUACUAAUAGGAGCAACAUAAUUUUAAUUUCCAUUUUAUUUUUUAAAUAAUUUUAAGUGUCAAAUUUAAGCAAUCAUAAAAAUACUCACGUUCAAUAUAAUCUUUUUAAAAAAUAAUUCAUGAGAUCACUUAAAUAAUCUACAAAAAAAUAUAAUUUAUUCUUGUGCCAAAUAAACAACAAAAGAAGUCUUGCAUUAUUAAAUUCAAGUCUUCUAUUACAUGAAAUUUGAACCUAUAACUAAUUUUAAAUGAUCAAAUUUUUAGUAUUCAAAAUAAAAGAAAAGAAAAAAAAAUUGUCUUCUAGACAAACCACAGACAACUCCACCAAAUCCAUAUCAAGGUCCCCACUUUUUCAACUUGAAUCAUAGGCCACUCCAUCAAAUCUAUGCCAAAGUUUCUUAUCAUUGACAACAAAUGUUGAGAGUUAAGUCAAGCAUGAAAAAAAAUAGGGUAAAAUAUAUCAUUUCUAUCCCUAUAAAAUUUUAAUGUGCUACUUUUUUUUUUUAUCCUGAGUUAAGUUUGGAUGAUAGAUAAUUAUCAUGUAUUCUUAGAUUUUGGUGUCAUUUUAGGAUAUUUAUGUGAUAUAUGUCUUUUAUGCUUUUUUAUUGUCAUGAACUAAUCUUCUCUUUUGUUGGAGUUGAAUAUAAUUGGUUCAUUUUUCAUGUAAUGACUAUUUUUUUAUUGAAUAAAGCAUUCUAAUUGUUUCUCUUCUAUGUUUAAUAUGUGUUUUUGGCUUAAUCACCUUGUUUGUAUGAUUUUUUUUAUUCAAUUGUAAUUAAAAAAUUCUUUGAACUACGAAUUGCAAAAAACACCUAAUAAUUUUUAUGUCUAGGAAUAAGAUAAAAAGAAUUGAGCAUCAAUAAACACUUUAUCUUAAUGAAAAUCAUUUAGUUAUAUUAAUUUAAGGGAUUGAUAGUGUAAUCAAGGGAUUUAGGUCUCUUCACUAGGAAUUAAAGUGAAGAUAAUAUGAUGGGUUUAUGAUAAUAUAACCUUUAUUAAAUAUGAAUGUGUAGUUAUUAGGUGAUAGAAACUUCAAUGAAAUUAAACGCCAACAAUUUUUUCAUUGAUUUAACCCCAACAAUUACAUGGGGUGUUUGUUAAAAUUCCCAAACAAUUUUUUUUCCUUAAUUUUUUUCUUUUAUUUUCUUCUUUAGUUUUCUUAUUUUUAUUUCUUCCUUUAAUUUCUUUAUCUUUAUGCAUAUUGUUAUUUAAAUCAAAUUAGCUAAUGUUAAUUAAUUUCAAAUAUUCAUAGUAUAGAAAUUAUACUUUUUAUUACCCAAUUUUAUUACCCAAUUAUUGCCUAAGUCCUGUUAAUGAGUAUUAUAGAAAAAAUGCACGAAUAGCGAGAGAAGGAAGAUGUGGAAGGGUUUAGAAACUGCAGAAUCCUAUGCAAGCUCCAACUUUCUACACUAAUUAAAUUCAUUCAGGCAAAUUCUAAGUUACACGUUGCGUAAAACAAUCUUCUUAAAUCCAAUCACCGAGUGUGUCAUUCCAGGUAUUUUAAUGCUAAUCAUUGUUAGUGCACAGAUAGUAGAAGACAAUAAUGCGUCAUAAAUACAAAACAGAAUUUGAUGCUCAAGUCUGAAGCUCGUCUAGUUCUCUUAACAUUAAGAACAUUUAUUACCAAUGAAAGCAAAACAAACAGACACCCCAUACGAACAUGUACAUAGUAUGGUAAACCUUUUCACAUUUUUAAUGGCUAGACUAACACGUUGUAAUGUCUCUCACUCCUAACAGUUAACAUGUAAACUCACAAUUUCCCAAGUAACCUUCUUACCUUCAAAACUAUUAUCACAUAAAUCAGAUCUCUCAAGUGGUCAAGAUAAUGAAAAUAAGCACGCCUCCAAGUUCUGUUGAAGAAAACAACACUGCAAAACCCCCAAAAUCCUGCUGCAAAUCCAACUCCCAUACCCAUAUAAAACUCUGAUGUUCCAAAGAAAUUACCAUCACCGUGUCAAACAGAAGCAGUCUCUGUCAACUCUUCCUUGUCUGUGCAAUUUUUUGUUACAGGAGGACCACAAAGCUCAGGAUUUCCAGUGUAGCUAAGUUCUUCAAAGCUCUGAAGUUGGGUGCUCGUGGGAAUUCUGCCUGAUAAGUUGUUGUAUGAUAGAUUCAGGACACUGAGGAAGGACAAAUCAGAUAAACUUUGAGGGAUUUGACCUGAAAUGUUGUUUAGUGAGAGAUCAAGGGAUUCUAACAAUUUCAUUUUUCCCAUGUCAUUUGGUAUCCCUCCAGACAGAUGAUUUCUAGACAAGUUCAAAAACCGCAAAGCAGAUAGCUUGGAAAUUUCAGAUGGAAUUGCUCCAGACAGCUUAUUACUUGAAAGAUCAAUCAUUCUCACCAAUAUCAAAUUGUCUCUGUACUCUAACUCAUCUCCUUUGGGAACUAAGACAAGAGUUUCCUUGUAGUGGUUAUAACUGAAGUCAGAGCCAUAUGAAUAACUUGAAGGGUUUGCAAAGAAGUCAUCUUCACCAGCCAUUGUUUUCAUGUCAUCCAAACAAUUUGGAAUGGAUCCUGACAGGCUGUUAUUGCCAAGAUCCAGCACUAUAAGGGAAGAAAGUUGACAAAUCUUUUCAGUGAAUGCUGCCAUUGAAAUUGUUGGAUCUUAGACGAAGAACCAUUAGAUAUUGCAUUUCCCACAUCCAAUCUGGUAUUGUGUCAGAAAGUUGGUUAUUGCCCAUGUCAAUGAAUUUCAUUGUAGAGCAAUUUUGCAGUGUUGAAGGAAUAUAUCCAGAGAAGCGGUUGUCGUCUAACAACAAAGACUCAAGUUGAGAUAGAUACCCCAUGGAGUUUGGAAUAACACCAGACAAAUUGUUACUACCCAAGUUCAAAUGCACCAAAGCUUGCCAAUGCACCCAACAGUGACCAAGAUCACCAGAUAAGACAUUAUUUGAAAAAUCAAGCACACUUAAAUUAUUAGUAGCAUUUUCCUUUCCACAUAAAAAGGGAGAAAUUGUUCCGGAAAUUGAGUUAUUGGCAACAUUCAGCACUUCAACAUUUGCAGACACACUUGGCAAUGUACCCUUGAACAAAUUAGAACUCAAAUUUAUGAGGCUGGAAUUGAGAAAGAUGUUAGAUAGGUCUCCACUUAACAGAUUGUUGGACAGAUCCAGGAAUUCAGUUUGCAAAGUCCAAUUCCAAAACCAACUUGGAACCAAGUCUGCAAUACCUGCCUUAGACAUUGUCAAAACCUUCACAGAACUUUGCCUUUUUAGUCAUUCUGGAAACUUAGGACCUAUUCCAAAGGAGCUCAGUAAAACAUAUUCAAGCUGAAAAGGAGGAACCCAUCCAGAGUUGACACUGAGGAACAAGUUUGUCCAAGACAAACGUAGUUCCUUUAAUUUCAAAAGUUUUACAAAAUUUGACUCUUUUAUAGAUCCUUCUAACAAAUUAGAUGAAAGGUCUAACAUCACUAAAUUUGAGAGAGUUCCAAGAGUUACAGGCAUAUCACCAGUCAAAGAAUUAGUUCCAAGAUUUAAUACCUGCAGGUUUCUGAGGAACUCAAAACUCUUAGGAAUGGUUCCAUUCAGUCGGUUGUGAGCCAGGUUUAAAGUUCUCAAGGAUGACAAGUUUGCAAAUGGUGAGGGAAUUGGACAAGUAAAGGUAUUAUUACUGAGAUUUAGAACUUCAAGAUGCUUAAGCUGGCCUAAUGAAUCUGGAAGUGGCCCACUGAGCUGGUUGUUCUGCAGGUCUAGAUUUUUUAUGUUCUGAAGGCUUGAUAUUAUUUGUGGAAUUUGUCCCUGUAAAAGGUUACUGUGUAAAUCAAGUUGGACAAGAGUUGUGCUGAGGUUAAAUAGCCAUGAAGGGAUUUGCUGAUUGAGAUUGUUAAUUGAAAGAUCAAGGACUUGGAGAUGUGUGAAGUUGGCUUUUCGUUUUGGUGGUCCUAAGUUAUCAAUUUGACAGCUCUCCAAGUGUAGUUCUGAAAGAGAUGGAAGUGCACUCAGUACUUGAAGCCAGUUACCUUGUUUAUGAAGGUCUGAACCACUCAAAUCAAGGUACUCCAAGGAAGAUAGCCUUGAUAUCCAAUUAAGGUUAUCUAUCUGAAGAGCAUAAUUGUAUCCAAGAUUAAGGUGCUGCAGGUUUGAGAGGUUUCCUAGUUGAUGAGGGAUUAAUCCCAUGAACCCACUUAAGCUAAGGUCCAAGUAUCUCAGACUCUCCAAUGAGCCUAGGAAGCUUGGUAUUGGAGUAAGAACAAAAUAAUUUGAACUCAAGUCCAAACGAUUCAAAUAUUUUAGUUCAAGCAAAGAAGGACUAAUCUCUCCACUCAACUCCCUAUAGGGAGAGCCCGCAGGUGUGUCAAGAUUGAUUUCCAUGACUUUACCUGUGUUGUUGCAGUGAACCCCUGGCCAUGUACAGCAAUCCGAUUUGUCAGACCACGAUGAAAGCCUGUUUGAAGGGUCUGCUAGUCCAUGCUUGAAGCUGAGGAGUGCAUUCCUUUCCUUCUCGCUGCAAGUCAUAUUGAGCCUUGCUGCCUUGCUUGCACUGAAGUGGAGAGUUGUUGCAGUGGACAAUAUCAAGAGAAGAACAUGAGUUGCAUAUAGCACUGCCAUGAAGAAGAAGGAAAACGAAAAAGGUUGAAUCCACAAUUUUCUGGUUCACGGUUGGUAUUUACUACUAACAAUGCCUAUAUAGGAUAUAUACCAUAGAAGGGUUUGCAUUUAAAAUUUUAUUCCACUAAUGGUGGUGGUUGCAAAAUGCACACAUAUGUAGAGGUAUAUAUGUCUACAAGGAGACAUUUAGGAUUAAAAGUGUCUAACCACACCACCAUUAUUUUGCUCUAGUUUAUUUUAUUUUGAUUUAAUUACCCUUUUAGUCCUUAUAAUUGUGAUAAUUUUUUUUAGUCUCUAUAGUUUAAGACAUUCAUUUUGGUUCUUAUAUUUACAAUUUUUUUUAUCUUUUGGUCCUCGAGGGGAAGAUUCAACUCACACAUAAACAUGAACAAAAUUAAUAAAAAUAGGGAAGCAAGCUCAGGUACAAAUGAAGUGUAAUGGAGGUAUGAGACAAAGCCACUACACAUUCCAUUAUUCUUGAGUCUGCCACCGACCUCUGCAAGCUUAGCAUUUGCCAAUUGCCAUGAUGUAAUCUCGUUCUUGACAGUCUCUCAUCAAGUUGGAGUGGUAUCACAGCAUUGAACUAAGUUGAUCGUUCCAUGGGAUGAUGGUUUUGAUUGCUGCAGAUAAAGUGUGUGAUUGUGAGUUUCUGGUCCCAUGAGUUAAACUAUAAGGAUUAAAAAAAAUAUUGUCAUAACUUUAAGGGCGAAAAAGAUAAUUAAACCUUUUAUUUUUUUUAACAACGGGUUAUAUAUAUGUAGCAGUUUAUUCUAAACAAUGGACUACGUGUGAAAUCUUUGAAUUCUAUGUAAGAAAUGUUAUUUCAAACUUCUCAUCAGUCUUCAUGUCAAUGAUGACAUGCUCCAUUUGAAUUCUAUGUCUAAUUAAGCUCUCGGUCUUCGUUUUUGCAACUUUAUUUCGUAGAAAGAAGCCAAAUUUGAAGAUACAACAUUUGAUACUAUAACUGUUUGGUGUUUUGAAAAUCUCACUCACAUAUUUCCAAAUGUUACAAAAGAAUUUGAUUCAGUGGUUAUUACGAAUUCCUUCCUAGCCUUUUUUACCAAGUCAGGGAAUUUGCAUUGUUGUGCAUGAUGGCUGCCACAAGGACCCUUGUACCAACCCAUUAGUGCAAGUGGUUUUUUCUUAUGAGAAUUGAGAAACAAAUUAUAUGUGUUUUAUUAAGGGAAUUCUAUUAUUUUUAAUUUUGAACUUGUAAUGUUUUUUGUUUCCCUCACAGAACAAGUGAUGAAACUCUUGAUGAUCGACGCCAUACGUACGCCUACUUUGAUGCUCUUUUUUCACACCACUUUUAUCUUAAUGGUAUCUCAAGUUGACAAUCAUAAAUUAAAAUAGCUAACUAUAGUUGAUUAGUAGAGACAAACAGCUCAAAGAUAAAGAUCUUUAAGCCAUCAUUUUUUUUUCCUUUUCUUUUCUAUGAGCUGUCAUUUCUUAUCUCUACAUGGAAUGUCUAGAAGUUGAAAAUUACUUGAGCUUUCUUUACCUACUGCUUUCCAUUUUGGCGAACUGCUUUUCUUUCUCAUAAUGAACUUUCCACUUCCAAUGAUGGUUGAACAUUAAUAAUUCUUCAUCUAUUUUGUCUAAAAAUUUCCACUCACUUUUUUUAGUGGUGUUAAUGUCAUGCAGACAAAUGAUGUCCAAGCUCCACUUUUUCCAUUCAUUGCAAGUUGCAAGCAGAAUGUAGAAUGUACGUAUAAUAAAAUAAUGAGAAUGGCAACUGCUAUAAGUACUACUUAAUUAGAACAAAAGUAUCAAAAUUAAAACGAAAAUAACUUUGAUGCUGUUAAUAUAUGAGUUUAAUUUUGAUAGAUAGUGUAAAAAUUUAAAUUGUUUAUUAAUUAGAAAUCACCAAAUGAUUUGUAAAACAAUUAGUAAAAAAGUUAUAAGAAAUAUAUAUAUAAUUAAUUAAUUGCAAAUGAAAGUGUAUUUAAAUUAAAUUCUUAAUUAACAUAUCCUUAUUGUGAUAUUUUGUAUAUUUUUUAUUUAAUUGAGACAGUGGAAUGAGACCGCACUAUAAUUUUCAUCACGGGUUGUAUUGUCUAAUAUAAUAGGGAUGGUUGGUGAGGAAUUUUGGAAUGUUAGUUGGUUUUAGACUAUAUAUCCUCUUGUUCAGUUUUCACAUUCUCAUUAGAGUUAAGUUGCUUUUGGGGAAGAACCAAUGUCUUGAAAUUCCCUCUUCACCAGAAGCAGUUUUAUUGUGUCUUUAUCGAAGUCAUCUUCUCCAGAGACUUGCCUUUAACUUUGAAGAUAGGAAAUAGAUCAGUCAAACAUUGUUUCAGUUUAUUUGGAUUUUAUUUUAAGGACAUGUGAUUUACAAAGACUUCUUACAACUCACAACCUUUGGAAUUUCUCUAUGCCUGGUUAACCCACAAUUUCUGGCGCCUGUUGCGGUUAGGAACAUAGGCUAGCAAAAACACUAAUCAUUUCAAGAGAAAUGUUAACACACUUUUCUAAUAUAUUAUUUUUUAUAUUAAAAUUUAUUAAAAUAAAAAAUUCAGCUGAUCUCAUAUUUUAUUUAGCAAAUUUUUCCCAUAUAUUAAGUCUUAGGUUUUUAAAAUUAUAAAGCUAAAACUAAAAUGUUUUACUAAAUGUAUUUUAAAGUAAAUUUUACACACAAAAAUAUUAUGAUUUUAUAAAAAUUGUUUGGUCAAGGGAGACAUAUUGAGCCAUAGAAAUACUAAGUUAUGGGCAAGAUUUUGAUAUACUAUAACCUUAAUUUUUACAAUAAACCUAAAUGUCUAAAUAUCAUAACUCAACCAUGCGACGAAAUGACAAUGUGUUAAUUUUGUUGUGUCCUCAACCAUGCGUAUGCCUCAGGCCGAGGGAAUUCUCACACACCACUCCUAACAAUUUCUAAGGAAUUCCACAACGUGUCUAUGCUUCAGACAACAAUAACGUACCAAAUAAACAAGUAGCAUCUAAUAAUGUUAAAAUAAGCACACAUAUAUCGAGCCAACCAACGUUGGAGGUAGAAGAACAACAAUAAUAUCAAUAUUUAAUUUCAUUUAGUGUUAAUUUAUUCGGAACUCAACGUAAAAUAACAAUUUAAUAGAAAACAAACAGAGUAUUUAUUAAGAAUAAAAAUAUAUUUAAUUUCAUUUAGUGUUUAAUAGUGUUUUGGUCUAUGUUUUUUUUUUUGUUUUUUUAUAGUUAUUUCUUUUCAAAUUUGAUGACAACAUUGUCAUUGGGUCCUUCUACCCUUCACAUCAGCAAAUUGGACACUAAAGAGACUCGGUCAGAAACAAAUAACUACUAGGGGUACAAUAACAUGAGAGGAUUUAACACUUUUGGAGUAGGAAAAUGUACUUUAAGAAAAGAAAAUUAUAUGUUUAUCCAUGAACACUAAGCUCUAGAGAAAAAAAAAACCACGAGAAAUAGUAUAUAACUCUUUAGUGGACAAUUGGUGUUGUACAAAAUUGAAAUGAUCCAGACUAAGUCAACAAACUGGUCUUCUUCAUUGAACUCACAGUGAAACCACAGAAUUUAUUUUCAUCUGCUAGUUUCCUUCCCAAUUCCCAUGUUUUCUAAAACAUAACACACUACAGAACCUUCUAAUAAAUUAAAACAAAAAAAUCAAUAUUUUACAUGUAGCACCACAACCUAACAAUUUCUACCUACAACUUUUUCUAUAGACUAUAAUAUAAUCUAUCUCCACUCAAUCAUUCAUCAAGAUUGAAAAAUGGAUUCAAAUGCUUGUCUACCACACUUGCUAGUGUUAGCAAUAACAUUGGUAUUGGUUAGUCAUGCAAUGGGAGAUUCAGCUAAAGACAAGUGUUGUCUCUUUGCCUUUUAAGUUGUACAUAGUUGCAAAACAGGUAUAUGUGAAAGAAUAAUGCUUAUUAAAGGUAAGGUUGAUUUUAAAGUGGGCAUGCAAGAAUGCAUUCAUUAUCUCAAGUAAAUAAAUUCAAGCGAAUAUCUGAUUUGGAUUAGAGAAUAGUAUUAUCCAGUGCACACUAAAUUGGAGAGAUUCCCAACAUGUGGUUUCAAAACUAAAAGUACUUACCAACUAUUUGAAUUUUAAUCUACGUGAUCUAGCUAAUGUUUUCUAUCAGAGAAUUACAACUAGUUGAUCUUAAGAACAAAACUAUACUAAAUAUGCAAAUCUUUACAUCUAAAAACAGAAUUUAAAUAAGGCUCUCAAAUUUGAAGAAAAAAAAGAAGAUAGCAAUGACUACAAAUUGAUCAAUCUGCCAAUACAAUGAUAAAACAUCGGUUUAUUCUAAGCAACACUAAAAAGGGAUACUACAUUAGCAAAAAGAUUGAAAUUAUUGACCAUGCAGUAUGAAUGUACAGCAUUAUUUAUUUAAUUUUUCUAAUACGAUUUUAUUUUAUAUUAAUACAAAAACUCUCACAAAACAACUUCUUAACUACUAGUUAAUUACUACUUUUAUACAUAAAAAAACUAGUUAAUUACUACUGCUACAUAGCAGAAAUUCCUUAAUUCUUCGAGAAUUAUAUUCCUUAAUUUCACGUGGUUUGCCUCAGUUGUUUGCCGCAGGUUUCAGUAUAUCCUUAGGAAUCGUCGAUUGUCAAAUCGUUGUUAAAUAACGGCGCUAUAUAUAAUUUUAGUAUUUUGACGUUUUUAAAUGAAUUUCUUAUUUAUGAUUAUAUAUUUACAAUUUUUAAUUUCACUUAAAAAAAAGAGUUUUUUUGGAUUUACAGAGAAAAAAAAUAGAGUUUUUAGUUAACACACUGUUACUAUAUAGUGCGGAGACAAUUACCCCACAAGCUUUUCAUUAACUUGUCAUAAUAUAAUAUAUGUGAAUACAAACUGUCCCUAUAAUUUAAAAUAAAAUAAAUGAAAAGUCAAUAACUUUAUAAGUAUUGUCUCCACACAUAUAUAUUAUCCUAUAACUUACAAUUUUAAUAUUUAUUAUUGAUAUUCUUAAUUAACUAAGUAAAAAUAUUUUUUUUAUAAUUUUUAAGAUAAUUAUUAUAAAUAUUAAUAAAUUUAUUAUAAAUAACAUUUUUAUAUGUGUAAGUGCAUGUAUAUUAUUUAUUGAAAUAUUUUAUUUGAAUUUUUCAUUAAAAAUACUAAAUUUAUUAACAUGAUAUGUGCCUCGUUAGAGCAGUGGUUUAAUUAAAUUGGAUAGUGAGAACUGAAUUGACGACAGAUUCUCUUUCCAUAUGUGAUGAAAGAGUUGUACGAAAUCUUUAUGACAUCAACCCCCAACAUGAGUGGCCCAGUGGACAAGCCCAUCAAUCUAACAUGUCGGUUGAUAGCACUUGCAUAAACUUUUGUUCCUUGCAUCAUCUCAUGUGUCUCCAUUCUCCAUUCUCUGCUUCCACUCACGAUUAAACCUUAUUGAUUAGGGUUCAAUGAUUUUUCAAUGAAUAAAAUUAAUUUUGAAUUCUUGAUUCUAACAGCUCACGUAUAGUCUGUUGAAUCAAAUGGAUUAGACUCUUGAUAUCAUAAAGAAAAUUAAAAUUUGAUUCUUUGUGUAAAAUAAAGAAAUCUAAUUAAUUAUGCUUGUUAUGUUACUAUAUCAUUUUUCCGGUGUGGAAUAACAUCAAAAUCAAAGUAAUAAAGUUACUUGCAUGUUACUCUAACCAUAAUUCCAGUUAAGUCGAAUAUGGUUUCAUGUUUUGUAAAACAAUUUAGAUCCCCUUUAUCAAAGUGUGUCUGUCUUCUACACAAGUUUUUUCACUUUAUUCUAUUUCCCCAGAAUCAAUUGUUGUGUUAUUCAUGCUAUUAAAUUAGUUCGAUAACUACCAUGUCGAUCAUUGUUAGUUUUGUUUCCACCAUUGUUGGGAAUACGUAUAUACUAUUACUUUAUGAUUAAACGUGUUACUUAAAUUGCAGAAAAAAACUCUUUAUAAUGAAGUACAAUUGUUUAUAACUACAACAAUUAUAUUGAGUCAAUUUAACACUCAUCAAAGGCAGAAAAGCUUUACUUUAAGAUUAGACAGAGGCUCAUACCAAUCAUGGCGGUGGUUAUAAUUAGACACAUCAGCAACUGUAAAAGAUCUUGCACGGCCACAGAAAAAAAAAAUGCUUGAUGCACAUCUGAUAAACUCACUCAAGGUCUAUGUAUUAAUAGUGUAAAAGAGAGACUGAAUAUUAAAUGAUAAAAAUAUAAAAUAAUUGUUUUGUAUUGGCAGAGUACACAUAUAUAUGCCCAAAUGUAGAUUCAAAGUUCAAACAUUUUGGGACUAGAUCAUCCCUCCUAGUCAUAGCCAUCUGAAUUGGAUCGACCCCACCCCAAGGUUUGUGUUGCAUCACUUGCAUGCAUUCACCCACCACUGUUGUUGUUAUAGUUUUCUCGUGAUUUUUGUAUUGGAAAAUACUAUGGACAAAUAUAAUUGAUACAGUCAUAAUUAAUUAUUGUCAUGUUGCAAUUACAAAGACUCCUCAAAGAAAAUGUUUAGUAAAUCAUGAUCAAGUAGAAAUUGCAAUGGCAAACUGUUUUUUAAAAUCUUAUUAGUCAGUUGUAUAAACCCAAAUUUAGUUAUAUCCAGGUAUGUAAUAUUUGCCAUUUUAGUGCUCUGUUUGGAAAUUUGCGUGUCGAAUUGUUUUUUUUAUACGUACCUACACAACACUCUUUAGCCAAAUACCACUGUUCAUGGAAAAAUCUGUCCUGAAAGGAGUAUAGAACCAGAAACAAUAUGCGUGGUGGUAUCUAUCAUUCUGAAAAAGAAAAAAAGUGGGAUUCUUACAAUAGUAGGACUGUGACACUACUAGAAAAAUCUAUGCACCUUUGAUGUCCCUAAAUUUAUGAACAAAAGAUUCAGGUGUCGUUUAUUGAAUUUGUUUUAUAUGGAGUGUAAAGUCAUAUUCAAUACUAAUAAGUGUAUGUUUAUAUAAUUCUUUUUAAAAUAAUUACUCUUCUUUAUUUACAUCUAAUAAAAAUGUUAUCACAUUAAAAUUUUUAAAAUAAGCUAAAUGAAGCAUGUUUCAUAAGAAAUUAACUUUUACUGUAAUUGAUACAUUUUUUAGUGACAAAGGGAGAUGGGUGAAGACGGUGAAGGAAAAAAAAAUGAAGAUAAUGUCUAUGUUGUUCAAAUAACAGUAUUAAUUGUAUUAAAAUAGUUAAUAUUAAAAAAUAUAUUAGUAAAUAUAACAUUGUUGUGUUGGUGCUAUUUAUUGUGCAUCAAAAUAUGUAAAAAUAAUAAUUAACUUAUAAUUUGUAUAGUUGGUAUGGGUUGUUUUAUCUAUCCUGGAUUUUGUUGAAUCACACAUAUAAUCAUUUAUAUAUAUAUAUGGGCUACUAUUGUCACUACCAAAAAUGCUAUGGAGACUACCAAAGCAUUUGAAAUUACUUGGUUAUCCUUAGUUCCAAUUCCCCACACCUCCUAUCCUUCCCCUCCUUACGUUCAGCUACUCUCCUUCUUUACAUACAAAAACAGAAUUUAAAUAAGGCUCUCAAAUUUGAAAAAAAAAAGAAGAUAGCAAUGACUACAAAUUGAUCAAGCUGCCAAUACAAUGAUAAAACUUCGGAGUAUUCUAAGCAACACUAAACAGUGAUACUACCUAAGCGAAAAGAUUGAAGUUUGAACCACACAUGAUCAAGGAAAUGAAAAUAGGCAUACCGCCAUGAUCUACAAAUCAGCAAAGGAGCAAUCACUAUCCAGAAUCCCACAAUAAAUCCAAUUGUCAUACUGACAAAAAACCAAUUCACUCCAUGCCCAUCACUUCCUUCAUAACUAUGGGUUUUCCCAUUGGAGCUGCAGUUUAUGGGCAGUGGUGGACCACAUAGAUUGUUGCCGAUGAAGCUGGAGGCAUCAAAGGUUUGCAAUUGAGUUCCUGUUGGAAUAUUUCCCUUCAAAUGAUUGUAUGACAAGUCUAGCAUGCUCAGAAAGCUCAAAUUUGCAAUGCUUGGAGGGAUUUCACCAAAAAGUUGAUUCCUCGAAAAAUCAAUGGACUGUAAUGAUCUCAUAUUACCUAUACCUUGUGGAAUAUGACCAAUCAAUUGGUUGUGGGACAUGUUUAAAAAAUUCAAUCCAUUUAGAUAUGUGAUUUCUCUUGGUAUUUCCCCAAAUAACUUGUUACUUGACAGAUCAAUGCUUGUUACCAAACCCAGAAUGUUUCUGUACUCAUCUCCUCUUCCUUUCAGCCAUAGUAGCACACUAACUAUACUUUCCAUCGACGUACCAUGUUUUCCUUGAGAAUAGAUACGAGGAUCUGUACUUUGGUUCUUUAGUGUCAUGGCACUCAAGUUACUGAAACAGCUCGGUAUAUUGCCAGACAGAUUGUUUUGUGCAAGGUCUAAAACCUGAAGAUGACUCAUCUGACAUAUUUCACUUGGAAUGUGUCCGGCAAAUCUGUUUGAUCGAAGGCGGAGGAUUUUCACAUUUAGAUAGGUUUGUAUAACUCAAAUAAAGAUAGACCAAAUUGGAGAGAUUCCCAAUCUGAGAUGGAAUCUUCCCCAUGAAUCCAGUAUAAGAGAGGUCGAGGUGAGUAUUCCCGAGAGCAAGUUGUNNNNNNNNNNNNNNNNNNNNNNNNNNNNNNNNNNNNNNNNNNNNNNNNNNNNNNNNNNNNNNNNNNNNNNNNNNNNNNNNNNNNNNNNNNNNNNNNNNNNGGGAAGUUCCCAACAAAAUGGUUGCUUUGUAAAUUCACGUCCACUAGAAAUGGCCAAUUAAUCCAACAAUCAGGUAUUUCUCCUGACAGAUUAUUUGAUGCAAGAUUGAGAAAUUCUAAUUGCAUUGGCUUGUCCUGAUUGUUACAUAAAAAAUCUUGCAUGGAUUCAGAGAAAGAGAUACCAAUUUAGAGAGUGAUCGAAGACUUUCAAAUGGAUUUCCAAUGAAUUUAUUCAUAGAGAGAUCGAGAUAUCUUAAUGAUGAAAGUUUUCCAAAUGAUCUAGGAAGAGCACCACCAAUUGAGUUGUUGGAAAAAAGUAACGUGUCAAUAUUUUUAAAUGCCCCAAUAUGAUCUGUCAGAUUGCCUGAAAGUCGUGAACUCUGAACUGCAAGUGUUGUGAGUCCAUGGGAAAUACAAGGAGCAAGAAUUUCUAAAAGUUCAUUAACCUGUUGGUUGAGUUUGAGAUAUGAUAAAUCUAUCACCCUUAAGUUGCAGAGAUUACCCAAAGAAGUUGGAAUGUUUCCUUCAAGUUGAUUACCUGAUAAAUCAAGUUCAACAAGAGAAGUCAAAUUUCCCAAAGAAGUUGGAAUGUUUCCUUCAAGUUGAUUACCUGAUAAAUCAAGUUCAACAAGAGAAGUCAAAUUUCCCAAAGAAGUUGGAAUGUUUCCUUCAAGUUGAUUACCUGAUAAAUCAAGUUCAACAAGAGAAGUCAAAUUUCCCAAAGAAGUUGGAAUGUUUCCUUCAAGUUGAUUACCUGAUAAAUCAAGUUCAACAAGAGAAGUCAAAUUUCCCAAAGAAGUUGGAAUGUUUCCUUCAAGUUGAUUUCGUGAUAAAUCAAGUUCAACAAGAGAAGUCAAAUUUCCCAGGGCAUCAGAAAUAGUCCCAUGCAAGUUGGUUUCCCCUAGGUUGAGGAACUUGAGACGAUGAAGACCGUAUAAGCAAUUAGGUAUAGAAGAUGAAAAUGAAUUGAAAGACAAGUCAAGAUUUUGAAGAUGUGUGAGGUUUCGAAUACCACAAGGAAUCGGACCUUGGAUUUGAAAAUUAUAUGAUAAUUGAAGAGAAACAAGUUUCUUCAAUUUGAAUAUCCACUUGGGGACAAAAGAAAUGGCAGGGGAAUAACUAGUUAAGGAAAGAUGGAGAGUUUGCAGAGAUGAGAAGUUGAGCAAGGAUGGUUCAUUAUAGUGAGGGAGUAAGGAUCGUGACAAAUAUAGGUGGGUCAAAGAAGGAAGAGAUUGGAGAGUGUGUAGCCAAUGAAAUGCUUUGGAUAGGUUUGCACUACUCAAAUCAAGAUAUUCAAGCUUCCACAUACUUGAUACCCAUUCUACAUUUUCAGCAAACAGAAAUCCGAGAUCAGUCAAAUAACCUCCGAGGUCAAGGUAGACCAAAUUGGAGAGAUUCCCAAUCUGAGGAGGAAUCUUCCCCGUGAAUCCAGUAUAAGAGAGGUUGAGGUGAGUCAAGGAAGUCAUUGUCCCAAGGAAAGAAGGAAUUGAC
rnacentral:lncRNA from 1 species